UACGUAGGGUGCAAGCGUUGUCCGGAAUUAUUGGGCGUAAAGAGCUCGUAGGCGGUUUGUCGCGUCUGCUGCGAAAACUCAGGGCUUAACCCUGAGCCUGCAGUGGGUACGGGCAGACUAGAGUGUGGUAGGGGAGAUCGGAAUUCCUGGUGUAGCGGUGGAAUGCGCAGAUAUCAGGAGGAACACCGGUGGCGAAGGCGGAUCUCUGGGCCAUAACUGACGCUGAGGAGCGAAAGCAUGGGGAGCGAACAGG
rnacentral:rRNA from 1 species